rnacentral:tRNA from 1 species
GGCUUCGUAGCUCAGAUGGUAGAGCGCUUGCCGCGUAGAGGCAUGGUGUUUCUGUCGCUGGUUCGAAUCCAGCCGAAACCC